rnacentral:lncRNA from 1 species
CACUGUCACUUUAAAUGUGGGAACCCAUACAGCAGAGAAAUAAAUGCCAAGACACAAAUAAAUAGGAUAAAUCAAGAGAUAUAUAUUUACAGAAAACCAAAGGAAAACGCAAAACAAUAUUUACACACACAAGGCCACUAAAUAUAUACAGUAAAUCAAAAUUAGUACUAAUCAUGCAGGCAACAAAUACUGUAAUAGUCCUAGGGUAUAAGGGUAAGAUUGUGCAGCUACCACGAGUAACAGGUAGGGCACAGAUCCAGAGUCACCAGACUAAUAAAGGGACAUCUGCAGGGACAGGAUCACUGGUAGUAAAGCCGGGACCACGGAACCAGAACACAGGACCGGAGGACACAACAACGAAGGACCAGGAGGACACAAUAACACAGGACCAGGAGGACACAGGACCAAGUCACAGCACGCAGGAGCCAGGAGCCAGGAACACAGGAAACCAGGGAAACAGGAAACAAAAGGCAAUGAUCUGGCAGGGAGUGAGGGGAGAAACCAAACUAAAUAGGUGCUAAACAAGAACCAGGUGAAGUGCUUAAUAAAAGGAAAUCAGGAACAGUGCCAAACAGAAACAGUGGUGAGUAUGAGUACUGCACGAGGGCAGAUCAGCUAAGGAGUGUCGUGACAGUACCCCCCCCUUAAGGAGCGACUCCUGGCGCUCCAAAACCCCAAGAUCCCCCACGGGUGACAGAAGAAAAACAGGGUCACCCAACCAGUAGAGGAAAACAAGGAGGAGGUUCAGGAGGAAUAAGAGGCGGAGAAUCCCACGGGAGAAACCAACGAGGCAGAAUAGAAACAUACAAGAGCAAGGACUGUAGAGUAACAUUUAGCAUUAGAAGGGCAGACACAUAAACAGAAAUUAAAGGCACAUACGAUAAACACUCCUUACCAGUGAUCGACAAAUGUGCUAACCCACUAGAUCUGGGACUAUUGCUGGUAACAGGUGCAUCACUCAGAAAUCCUGGGUCUGACUUGGUUUCUGGCUUGUAAGAUCCUCGGAACAAAGACUGCGAUGCAACUUCUGUAGAAGGGAGAACAGUCUCUGCAUUAUCUUGGGUAGAUAUAACUGGAAUCAAUCGAGGAGAAUCCCCUAAACUAGUGAGUACAGGAUCAGGAGCACUCUGCGAGCCCUCCUCCUCAGACCGCAGAUAUGCAUCAAGGAACGGUUCCCCCAAUAUCUCGGAGCAUGGGGCCAGCCGAAGCAGGGACGAUUCUCUCUCAAAUUGAUAUAAUUCUGUAACGGCUAGAGAUACCUGGUUACUUAAAUCAUUCUCUUCUUCGCUUGUGAGCUCAGCUUGAGGUAGUUCUUUACUUGUCAUAGAAGUACUCUCAACUGAAGGCAAGUCUUCUUUUAAUACUUGCUGGAGUUUAGGUGGAGUGACAGACAUCCUGGCAACUGAUAUGUCAUAGAAGGAACUUCCUUCAUCAUGGGAACAGGUACCGGAUAUGUGGAUGCUACCUUCUUGUUCGGGUUCACUCACUUCUUUUGGAGUUUGGUUAAGCGGCUGAUUUGAAUAAUCUUCGACGCUUGGUUCAGGUACAAGUGUGGUAGUUGGUGUUUCCUCUUGCAGCAGAAAAAUUGUUCUACUAGAGCAUGUAACUUGAAGAACGAUAUUAGACCUACAUAGAACUGUAGAGUCUUCUUCAGACUGUGGGUUCAGAACAAGCCCGGUCUCAUUUAGAUCCUUUUCUUGGGCUUGAUCCAUCACGGGUUUGUCACGUUGCACCAAGUCUGACUCUUUGUCUUCUAUUUGAGGAUAAUAGUCUUUACUUGGCGACAAUUCAUUUUUCACAGUUGCGGUUGUGAGAGAGGUGCCAAUCUUCGAACCCCCAGAGGUAAAAGGGGUUAAAAUUGGAAUCAUCAAGCCUCUCCACAUCAAAGUCAUGAGCUGCCUUUGGCACAAUAACCUCUUCUUCCACUGGUUGCUCUGAAGCUUUCACCUUAGGUUUUUCAGCAUUCUCAGACAGUGUUUUGAAAGAAGUAGGUCGUUUACCACGUUUCCUACGUGGUGUCUUUUUGAUAGGAGGAUCAUCUUCCACGAGAUUAGUCUCCAAUUUCAAUGGUCCAGUCUUGUCGUCACUUUCAUCCUCUGGAGCAAAUUUUAUAGGUGACUCUUCCAAUUUUGAGUCUCCAGUAUUAGAUGACUCAGCCAUGUCUAUUUGAUCUGAGUCAAAUUUGUAGGAUGACUUGGGAAGAGGUGGAGAAAUUGGAAUCUCUGAUUCCAUAGAGUCAGUAUUUGGGUUGACACUAACAGUAUUGAAUGCUUUGUCCUUUGUGGGACAGACUUCCAGAUCAGAUCCAGUCACCUGGUCAAGGUCACUGGUGGUCUCCUCAAUUGUCACUGUGAGGGAGGAAUUAGUAUCUCUGGUGGCAGACUCAGGGGAGUCUAUUUCUGCUUCGUGGCUGGGCAGACUUUGCUUGAGACACUCUCUGACCAGACUUGUACCCUCCUGAACAGUGUUGAGAUCGUUCAUCUUGGUAGUCGGUAUUCUCACUUUGGGAAUAGGCGAGUGGAUCUUGCAGAAAAGAGACUGUGGUAUAAGGGUACUACGGGUCUCUGGUACUGAGAUAUUAGGAAACUGCGUACUGGUACUACCUCCACAUUCAGGCUGCUCGUCCUCCAGAGCUGCUAUGCAAUGAGCACCCAGUUCAUCAAAGACCCGGUCCAUGAGGGGAUCGCCAGUGCUAUAUAACCCUUCAACAUCGUCGUCUUCAGUUUGGGCUGGAAGGCAUUCAGCAUUAAAUUCAUGAGGAAUUUUGGUUUUGCAGUCGGGAGGAUCAGCAAGCCUUUUGUCCAAGUCAGAGUCAGGAGGAUUAGGGAUGCUAUGCAAAUUAGGAAAGGGAAUGUAAACAUCAGUAUCAGACAUAAAGACACUCAUCCUUUCCUGUACUAAAUCAAUAAGAAAUAUAAUUUCAGGAAUCAAGGCAAUGUAAUUAUUGUGCAUAACUCUUAACUGUUUCUGCAUAAACGAUAAAGAUUUGUUACGUGAUGUUUCUUUAAGAGACACACAAAGAAGUUCAUUCACCCUAUUUAACACAGUGGGCUUUCUCAACCAUUUUUUGCAAUUAGGUAGCAGAGAAAGCAAAGGGUCACAUAUUUGUUUGUGAUAAAUUUGCAGUUCAGUGAUAAGUCCACAUAAUACAGAUUUCUGAACUUGGAAAGAAACAGUUAUAGUAGACAAGCAGAGGGCAGAUGCCUUUUCUAUCUGCCGCUGGAUAUGUUUUAACUGAUCAUAACAUGUCUUAAUGAGAGCAUACUCUUGCUGUGAAUCAGCGUUAUUACCAACAAUUUUAUCCAUCGUGAUCCUGGACAUUAUUCUCUGCUGGUUCCAAAUGGCCAGAUCAUUCUGUAAUGACAUGAAGGGGUGCUGCCCUGGAACAGCACUGUCACUUUAAAUGUGGGAACCCAUACAGCAGAGAAAUAAAUGCCAAGACACAAAUAAAUAGGAUAAAUCAAGAGAUAUAUAUUUACAGAAAACCAAAGGAAAACGCAAAACAAUAUUUACACACACAAGGCCACUAAAUAUAUACAGUAAAUCAAAAUUAGUACUAAUCAUGCAGGCAACAAAUACUGUAAUAGUCCUAGGGUAUAAGGGUAAGAUUGUGCAGCUACCACGAGUAACAGGUAGGGCACAGAUCCAGAGUCACCAGACUAAUAAAGGGACAUCUGCAGGGACAGGAUCACUGGUAGUAAAGCCGGGACCACGGAACCAGAACACAGGACCGGAGGACACAACAACGAAGGACCAGGAGGACACAAUAACACAGGACCAGGAGGACACAGGACCAAGUCACAGCACGCAGGAGCCAGGAGCCAGGAACACAGGAAACCAGGGAAACAGGAAACAAAAGGCAAUGAUCUGGCAGGGAGUGAGGGGAGAAACCAAACUAAAUAGGUGCUAAACAAGAACCAGGUGAAGUGCUUAAUAAAAGGAAAUCAGGAACAGUGCCAAACAGAAACAGUGGUGAGUAUGAGUACUGCACGAGGGCAGAUCAGCUAAGGAGUGUCGUGACA